UGGAAUGUAAGAAAGCACAACCUAAAGAAGUGAUGUUUCCACCAGGGACACGAGGACGAGCUCGCGGAUUACCAUAUACUAUGGAUGCUUUUAUGCUUGGAAUGGGAAUGUUGGGUUACCCAAAUUUUGUUGCAACCUAUGGCCGAGGAUAUCCUGGAUUUGCCCCCAGUUACAGUUAUCAAUUUCCAGUGCUUUCCGUGGGAUCUUCAAUCAAACCCAGUU